rnacentral:rRNA from 1 species
ACGAACGCUGGCGGCGUGCCUAACACAUGCCGGUCGAACGGAAAGGCCCUGCUUUUGUGGGGUGCUCGAGUGGCGAACGGGUGAGUAACACGUGAGUAACCUGCCCUUGACUUUGGGAUAACUUCAGGAAACUGGGGCUAAUACCGGAUAGGAGCUCCUGCUGCAUGGUGGGGGUUGGAAAGUUUCGGCGGUUGGGGAUGGACUCGCGGCUUAUCAGCUUGUUGGUGGGGUAGUGGCUUACCAAGGCUUUGACGGGUAGCCGGCCUGAGAGGGUGACCGGCCACAUUGGGACUGAGAUACGGCCCAGACUCCUACGGGAGGCAGCAGUGGGGAAUAUUGCACAAUGGGCGGAAGCCUGAUGCAGCAACGCCGCGUGCGGGAUGACGGCCUUCGGGUUGUAAACCGCUUUCGCCUGUGACGAAGCGUGAGUGACGGUAAUGGGUAAAGAAGCACCGGCUAACUACGUG